rnacentral:rRNA from 1 species
AUUGAACGCUGGCGGCAGGCCUAACACAUGCAAGUCGAGCGGAGCGGCGGACGGGCGAGUAAUGCCUAGGAAUCUGCCUGGUAGUGGGGGAUAACGUCCGGCAACGAGCCCUAAUACCGCAUACUAUCAGAUGAGCCUAGGUCGGAUUCGCUAGUUGGUGGGGUAAAGGCCUACCAAGGCGACGAUCCGUAACUGGUCUGAGAGGAUGAUCAGUCACACUGGAACUGAGACACGGUCCAGACGCCUACGGGAGGCAGCAGGGGGGAAUAUGGGACAAUGGGCGAAAGCCUGAUCCAGCCAUGCCGCGGGUGGGAAGAAGGUCUUCGGAUUGUAAAGCACUUUAAGUUGGGAGGCGGUACCAACAGAAUAAGCACCGGCUAACUACGUGCCAGCAGCCGCGGUAAUUC